AAGAACUACAACUUGAUAUUGCAGCAAAUAUAACUGUGCUAAGUGUAUUACAAGCCUUUUUACAGAACUCGAAGCUGCAAAAUCAAAUAAGAGUUCUAGACUUUGCUCCUUAGCCGGCAAUAAUUUAAAUUGUAGUCACGUGGCUUGGGGCCUUGCUCUUGUGGCUGUGAACUGUAAUUGGCCGUUUGGGACGGUCCUAAUUAAUUUGGUAAAAUGUGAGCGCAAUUCUAAUGGAUUUACCGCUAUGAUAAUCUAGGCAGAAAGGUUAUGCACGAACAUGCUGCUGGGCAUUUAAUGGCUGUACGUGAAGUUGGCUGCACUCUUCGCUGGAUAAUAAUCCUGAAUUGGGUGCUCCGAACAAUUGGAUCAGCUACAGCUGACAUUGUUGUACUUUCAAAAUAUGUAAUAAAUAAAUAAACAUGCAUUUUGAAUUUAAAAA